GUGUGACCCUGGGACAUUGCGUCAAUUCCUCAAAUGAUGUUCUCUGUCAUUAAUACAUCCCUACUCUCAGCAGCCAGUCACCAGUAGCUGGCCGAACUUUGCCUGUCCAUGCUCCACCUGCUCCUACCCCCUAUUUUCUAGAAUUGUGACAACUCUCCCCAGCAACAUGAUAGAUGAUAGGAAAUUUUGUUUCUGUAAAUUCUGAACAUUAUAAACAAAGCAAAAUUCUUAUUUCAGAACCCUCAGGGGUGACUGGCUCAGGACUUUCUCUUCUCUGUAAUUUCAGCCAUAACCUAACAAACCUGCCCUUCACAAAGUCUAGCCACUUUCCUCACUUAAGGAGCUCGCCCCAGCUUCCUCACAACUGGCACUGCCCUAAAGAAAUGGGUUCGCAUGCAUCCUGAUCGCAGCCCAUCUGAGAAGACACUCUGACUGCGAAUGAACCUAGCCACUGGAAAUGAAGCGGAGGCAAAGGUUAAGAUUCCUCUGACAAUGCUACUAGCUAGGCGACUCUCCAGCACCCUGCUCCUGCCGUGAGGACAGCAACAAGGAAAAGCAGGCACGUACUUCUGGAGACCAGACUCAGACACGUCUGCUAGAAGACGACUGGACCCUGCCCUUCAAACAGACCCACUCCACUGGCACGCCAGGUAUCAGCAAAGACAACAAUGGAAAGACAGAGUGAAUAUUUGCUUACCUUUAGACAUCAGAGUUCGGCAAUAACCCCACUUUCUUCCCUCCCAUUCCCUGUAUCUUCAAAACAUGAAAAACAUACUAUCCAGGAAAAGAAAACUAUUACAUGAGAAUUAUGUUAUCUAUUUUUCAUACACUUAAAUUUAGUAAGAUCAGGACCAUAAGAUGGUAUAAUGUUACG